GAUGAACGCUAGCGGCAGGCCUAACGCAUGCAAGUCGAGGGGUAGCAGGAUUAAGCUUGCUUAAUUGCUGACGACCGGCGCACGGGUGCGUAACGCGUAUGCAACCUACCUUAUACUGGGGUAUAGCCCGGAGAAAUUCGGAUUAAUCCCCCAUAGUACUAAUGAAUCGCAUGGUUUAUUAGUUAAAGCAUUGCGGUAUAAGAUGGGCAUGCGUCCUAUUAGCUAGAUGGUGAGGUAACGGCUCACCAUGGCUACGAUAGGUAGGGGGCCUGAGAGGGUGGUCCCCCACACUGGUACUGAGACACGGACCGGACUCCUACGGGAGGCAGCAGUGAGGAAUAUUGGUCAAUGGGCGCAAGCCUGAACCAGCCAUGCCGCGUGCAGGAAGAAUGCCCUAUGGGUUGUAAACUGCUUUUAUUUGGGAAUAAACCUCUUUACGUGUAGAGAGCUGAAGGUACCAAAUGAAUAAGCACCGGCUAACUCCGUGCCAGCCGCCGCAGUAA
rnacentral:rRNA from 1 species